UGCCAGCCGCCGCGGUAAUACGGAGGGUGCAAGCGUUGUUCGGAAUUAUUGGGCGUAAAGCGCGUGUAGGCGGUUCGUUAAGUCUGAUGUGAAAGCCCGGGGCUCAACCCCGGAAGUGCAUUGGAAACUGGCGAACUUGAGUACGGGAGAGGAAAGUGGAAUUCCGAGUGUAGGGGUGAAAUCCGUAGAUAUUCGGAGGAACACCAGUGGCGAAGGCGGCACACUGGGUCUUAACUGACGCUGAGGCACGAAAGCUAGGGUAGCGAACGGGAUUAGAUA
rnacentral:rRNA from 1 species